UGCAAAAAUCGAUCUAUAUUCUCCUACCUGUCGGUUUGUUGUUAUAUUUUUUCUUUUCAUGUUUCUGUUUUUCAUUAAUGUUUUGUUAUUUCCAUUUAUAUUUAUAUCGCUUGCGGCGAUGGAUACAAACAAGGAAGGCGUAAAUAUUGAAUAAAAAUAGUUGGUACAUGAUGAAGGGACGUCAAAAUGAAUACGCUGUGUAUCAUUGAGACAUUGCUGUGAAACUCGGAGGCAUUCGGAAUUGUUGCUGUUACGUGGGACGGAGGACGACAAUUCAUAUUGCGAUAAAUUGGGAUAAAGAUGUUCCUGAUGUUUGUGUGGUGUGAAUGAUAAUACAACAAAUAAAGUUUUGAAAUCAUUUCCACUAAGCCUUUCAAACAAGAUUAAGCGGAGGCGGAUGUUUUUAUACCCUACACCACACUGCGGUCAGGGUACUAUGUAUUUGUGCAUUUGUUUGUAACAUAGAGAAGGACGAGAGAUGGACCAGACUCAAAGUUUCUUUUGAUGCGAGAAUCAUAUUCUGAACCGAUUUAUGCAUGGCUCUCCAUUUAUUUUUGUGACGCCCCAUGAACGAACCCUAUUGACAUUGGAGAUAAUCGGUCAAAAUAUAGAUAAUGCUCCCAUACAUAUCU